GAACCGGAAACUGCGGUGGUAACUGAUCUAAACCGGUGAGAACCGGUAAAAACCCAAAAAAAAACACAGGUUUGAGAAACCAGCGAUUUAAAAUGACUUUUGUUUAUUAAUAAAAUUAAAAUUAAAAUAUAAAAGAAAGCUGAUAGGUUUUUUUUUCAUAUUCUGAACUUCUUAUGUUGCCGUCAAAAACUCAAACGCGUUUCUCUUCGCCGGUCCACCAUGUUCCUCCUCUCCUCCGUCGCACGUCUACUCGCUACCUCUCAAAUGGGUGGAAUGAUCGUUGCAGGAGAACUCUUAUCAACUUUUUAGCUUAUUUCUCCAAAGAAACUGUUUUCACAAAGUCUAUUGAAGCCUCAAGUGUUUCUAAAACUCCAUACACAUUGUUUAAGCUUUUCAAGGAAGUAGUGUUAUAUGUUGGUCCUGAAAAUGUUAUUCAAAUCGUUACAGGUAAUGUUGUGAAUUAUGUUGCUGCUGGAAAGUUGUUGAAAAAUGAAUUUCCUAAGUUGUAGCAAUCUCCUUGUGCAACACGCUGAAAUGGGGAAAUUAAAGGAAGUAAGUGAGACAAUGUCACAUGCUUCAUAAGUUACCAAAUCUUCAUGCACAACUUCACAAAAAUCCUCAUGUUGUUGGUUAUUGGUUAAAUCCAUCUUGUAGAUUCAAUCCAAAAUAUGAAAAACACAAGUCCACCACCCAAGACUUUUUGGAUGUCAUUGAAAAGUAUGGUUAUGAUAGUAAGGACUUGCAAACUAAAUUAACUACUGAGAUGAGAUCAUUCAAAAAUUCUGAAGGUAGUUUUGGAAGGACAACAAUCGUUAAAAAUUGAAAUGAAGUGUUGUUGUAAGGUAAAAUUAGUUGAUAAUCUUUAUGUAUUUUAGUACAAUAUCAAUAUGUAUUUUAAAAUAUUUUUUAAUUUUAUCACAUUGAUUAUUCUAGAUCAAUGGUUGAAAAUUUAUGGAAUCGAAACACCCAAUUUGUAAAAAUUAACUAUUCAGAUUUUGAGUCAAACUUGUAGUGUCUUUGAUUAUUAACGAAA